rnacentral:rRNA from 1 species
UACAGAGGUGGCAAGCGUUGUUCGGAAUUACUGGGCGUAAAGAGCUCGUAGGCGGCCUGUUGCGUCCGCUGUGAAAGCCCGGGGCUUAACCCCGGGUCUGCAUUCGAUACGGGCAGGCUAGAGUGUGGUAGGGGAGAUCGGAAUUCCUGGUGUAGCGGUGAAAUGCGCAGAUAUCAGGAGGAACACCGGUGGCGAAGGCGGAUCUCUGGGCCAUUACUGACGCUGAGGAGCGAAAGCGUGGGGAGCGAACAGG